UGGGGAAUUUUGGACAAUGGGCGAAAGCCUGAUCCAGCAAUGCCGCGUGUGUGAAGAAGGCCUUCGGGUUGUAAAGCACUUUUGUCCGGAAAGAAAUCCUUGGCUCUAAUACAGUCGGGGGAUGACGGUACCGGAAGAAUAAGCACCGGCUAACUACGUGCAGCAGCCGCGGUAAUACGUAGGGUGCAAGCGUUAAUCGGAAUUACUGGGCGUAAAGCGUGCGCAGGCGGUUUGCUAAGACCGAUGUGAAAUCCCCGGGCUCAACCUGGGAACUGCAUUGGUGACUGGCAGGCUAGAGUAUGGCAGAGGGGGGUAGAAUUCCACGUGUAGCAGUGAAAUGCGUAGAGAUGUGGAGGAAUACCGAUGGCGAAGGCAGCCCCCUGGGCCAAUACUGACGCUCAUGCACGAAAGCGUGGGGAGCAAACAGGAUUAGAUACCCUGGUAGUCCACGCCCUAAACGAUGUCAACUAGUUGUUGGGGAUUCAUUUCCUUAGUAACGUAGCUAACGCGUGAAGUUGACCGCCUGGGGAGUACGGUCGCAAGAUUAAAACUCAAUGAAUUGACGGGGUCAUAGCUGUUUCCU
rnacentral:rRNA from 1 species